rnacentral:rRNA from 1 species
UACGAAGGGGGCUAGCGUUGUUCGGAAUUACUGGGCGUAAAGCGCACGUAGGCGGAUAUUUAAGUCAGGGGUGAAAUCCCGGGGCUCAACCUCGGAACUGCCUUUGAUACUGCAAAUCUUGAGUCCGGAAGAGGUGAGUGGAAUUCCUAGUGUAGAGGUGAAAUUCGUAGAUAUUAGGAAGAACACCAGUGGCGAAGGCGGCUCACUGGUCCGGUACUGACGCUGAGGUGCGAAAGCGUGGGGAGCAAACAGG